rnacentral:rRNA from 1 species
CGAAAGCCUGACGGAGCAACGCCCCGUGAGGGACGAAGGCCUCUGGGCUGUGAACCUCUUUUCUCAAGGAAGAAGAUAUGACGGUACUUGAGGAAUAAGCCACGGCUAAUUCCGUGCCAGCAGCCGCGGUAAUACGGGAGUGGCAAGCGUUAUCCGGAAUUAUUGGGCGUAAAGCGUCCGCAGGCGGCCUUUCAAGUCUGCUGUUAAAGCGUGGAGCUUAACUCCAUCAUGGCAGUGGAAACUGAUCGGCUUGAGUAUGGUAGGGGCAGAGGGAAUUCCCGGUGUAGCGGUGAAAUGCGUAGAUAUCGGGAAGAACACCAGUGGCGAAGGCUCUCUGCUGGGCCAUUACUGACGCUCAUGGACGAAAGCCAGGGGAGCGAAAG